rnacentral:rRNA from 1 species
AUGACCAAAGCAAAAAGAGAUGGUGGUAUAGGAUUUCGGGAUAUGCAUUGUUUCAACCAGGCCCUCCUGGCUAGGCAAGGGUGGAGGCUGCUUACUAAACCAGAGAGCCUAUGCGCAAGAGUUCUAAAAUCUAAAUACUACCCCAAUGGAAAACUCCUCGACACGGUUUUCUCAUCAGAUGCCUCUCCGGCAUGGAGGGGGAUCGAGUUUGGACUC